GUGCUCGCUUCAGCAGCACAUAUGCCAAAAUUGGAACGACACAGAGAAGAUGAGCAUGCCCCUGUGCAAGGAUGACACACAAAUUCGUGAAGUAUUCCAUAUUUUU
rnacentral:snRNA from 1 species